rnacentral:lncRNA from 1 species
GGGGCAUGGGAGGUCCUCUCGGGGAGGGUGUCCAGAGUGGGUCCCACCACUCGGGGCGACCUUUGGUGAGCCUGACCUGUGUGGAUCUGCAGCGGAGGCCUCAGCAACCUGCUCUUCCGAUGCUCGCUACCGAACCACGUGCCCAGUAUGGGCGGGGAGCCCCGGGAGGUGCUGCUACGGCUGUACGGGGCUAUCUUGCAGGGUGUAGACUCCUUGGUAUUAGAAAGCGUGAUGUUCGCCAUUCUUGCAGAGAGAUCUCUAGGGCCCCAACUUUAUGGAGUGUUUCCAGAGGGCCGCUUGGAACAGUACCUCCCACCCCCUCACCACCCUGAAAGGUUACUGGGUACAGAGCCGGCCAUUGAAAACUCAAGAGCUCCGGGACCCAGUGUUGUCAGGAGCCAUUGCAACAAAGAUGGCCCGUUUCCAUGGUAUGGAGAUGCCCUUCACCAAGGAGCCCCGCUGGUUGUUUGGGACC